AUGGCGUCAACUGAGAUAGCAAGGCAAGCGGGGGAAGGUGCUCGUGCCGUCCCUCUGGCAGGCCAUGUCGGCUUUGACAGCAUGCCGGAUCAGCUGGUUAACAAGUCUGUCAACCACGGGUUCUGCUUCAACAUCCUCUGUGUUGGCGAGACGGGUCUGGGGAAGUCCACUCUCAUGGACACGUUGUUCAACACCAAGUUCGAGGGCGAGCCCACCCAGCACAACCAGCCAGGAGUCACGCUCAAAUCUAAUACCUAUGAGCUCCAGGAGAGUAACGUGCGCCUCAAACUCACUGUCGUCAACACUGUAGGCUUCGGAGAUCAGAUCAACAAAGAAGACAGCUACAAGUCUAUUGUGGAGUUCAUUGAUGCCCAGUUUGAGGCAUAUCUACAAGAGGAGCUGAAAAUAAAACGCACGCUACACAGCUACCACGACACCCGCAUCCACGCAUGCCUGUAUUUCAUCGCUCCCACAGGACACUCACUCAAAUCGCUGGACUUGGUGACCAUGAAGAAACUUGAUAGCAAGGUCAACAUCAUCCCAAUCGUUGCCAAGUCGGACGCCAUCUCCAAGAGCGAGCUGGCGAAGUUUAAAAUCAAAAUCACCAGUGAGCUGGUCAGCAACGGAGUGCAAAUCUACCAGUUCCCCACUGAUGAUGAGUCUGUGGCAGAGAUCAACUCCACCAUGAACAGCCAUUUGCCGUUUGCCGUGGUGGGAAGCACUGAGGAGGUGAAGAUCGGGAACAAGAUGGUGAAGGCCCGGCAGUACCCCUGGGGAACAGUGCAGGUGGAAAAUGAGAAUCACUGUGACUUCGUCAAGCUUCGAGAAAUGCUGAUUAGAGUGAACAUGGAGGACCUGCGAGAGCAGACUCACACGCGUCAUUAUGAGCUCUACCGCCGCUGCAAACUGGAGGAGAUGGGCUUUAAAGACACAGACCCUGACAGCAAGCCCUUCAGUCUUCAGGAGACGUACGAGGCUAAGAGGAACGAGUUCAUGGGGGAGCUGCAGAAGAAAGAAGAGGAAAUGAGGCAAAUGUUCGUCCAAAGAGUCAAAGAGAAGGAGGCCGAGCUCAAAGAGGCAGAGAAAGAGCUGCAUGAGAAGUUUGACCGUCUGAAGAAGCUCCACCAGGACGAGAAAAAGAAAGUGGAGGACAAGAAGAAAUCCCUGGACGACGAACUCAACAUGUUCAAACAGAAAAAGACUGCUGCAGAGCUCUUGCACAACCAAGCCCAGCAGGCAGGGGGCUCCACCACACUCAAGAGGGACAAAGAGAGGAAAAACUGAUGUCACGCCGUGCCUGUUAGAAACGGAAGAAGACACUUGCACUGACAAGUUAACUCCUCCCACACUUGCUGCAUGCUGCAUGGGGCAUCUUUUCUGCUUAGGAUUCCUGUAGAAAAGUGCUCCCUUGUGGCCAUCCUGCUGUGAAUGAGUUUCCACCCCAUCAUCUUCUUACAGUACCCUUUCCCACCCUCACCCCACCCAUCCGGAUAAAUACACCCUCCACAUGCAAAGUGCUCUCUGGAGGACGCUGAGCAUUCCUAACAGUUUGACAGUUUUUGCUGAAUGAUGCUUGUAUGUUAUGUGGUUUAUACUUAGUAAUGCAUUCCAUGUUGGUUUUAUAUUAUUGAUCAAUUGCAUGACAAAGUGAGCUUUUUUGAAUAUUAACAUACAUGGCCACUGUAGUGAUGGUCAGACAUGUAUCGAGGGUGAAGUGAAACACACAUCAGACAGUACAACCUCAGAAUCGACAGUAUGUGGUAAAAAUCUGCAGAAGAUUACAGUAAAGAAAGAAUUAAGUAAAUCGAUGAUUGACGGGAGGAUGGAUUAAGUCGUCAUUGAGCCAAUCUCAGAAUGAAGCACAGCAAUCACAAUAGUGAUCCUAAAUUUCACUAACAACAAAUAACAGUGAUUUAGUCAUUGCAAUUAAUAGGCCUCGUAACCUUUGUAACGACCCACGUUGAGCUGCUCCUUUGUCAGAAAUGCAACGACUAUCUACAUUGGCUAAAAAAAAAAGUUUAAUUUUUUGCGGACUAAUAGUGGUAAAGAAUACAUUGCGUUAAUCCCCCUUUUAAGUGAGGGCAACUGUAUUAAUGGCGGACCCCUCCACGGACAACGUAGACUAAUUACCAGAAAUGCAGAAAUAAUAUCAGGACCUAAUUUCAUGAUAUCUUACAAAAUGUAUUUUUCUCCAGUUUAUAGACGUUAGACCUACAAUAUAAAUUUCAUUUAAGAUGUGAAUGUUUCGGUAUUCGUGUCCUUUUGCUGAUGUUUCACUUUAUCCAGAUGCAUGAGUAGUUUUGAGCCUAAUCUCCUGCCACUUCUCCCAUACCUCAUUCAUUGCCAUGUGUUAUUUGCAUACUUGUAUUAGCUUUUAUAUUUGCACUUUUUUAUACACAAAUGUGAUAUUUUUGAAGUAUAUAGAAAUGUUUUCAGUGCAACUGUAACAUUAUUUACUUACUAUGAAGGCACAUUUAAAAGUAAUCCAUUACUAUUUCCCUUGUCCUAAAUGGACCAGUGUUUGUAUCAGUGUUAUAUAAAAAAAAAUAUUAACUCAAAAGAAAAUAAAGGCCAGUUUUUCACCAAAUGUUA